CACACACACACACACACACACACACACACACACACACACACACACACACACACACACACACACACACACACACACACACACACACACACACACACACACAAACAAACAAACAGAGUAUUACUUCCUCAUCGAGUUGCUUUCUCGUCUUCCUCUGGCAUCUGGUUUACAUGCUUUUACUGCUGCAUUAUGGAUUCUCACAGAUUAACACGUGAUAUAAACUAUAAGUGUCAUCUUGACAACUAAGGUUCUACUUCGACGACUUGUAAUGACAAAGAUCAGUUUCAGUGAUGUCAUCAGGCGGAGCCGGACGCUCACGUCUCUCACCCUGGAACUGAGGUUUGACCUCCCAGCUGUGGGAGGCGAAGCCCCCGAAGACGUUUCCCUGCGAGUCUUUGACGAGCAGCAGCGUCGGACCGCGCUUCGUCAGGCCGCUCACCAUCCGGCUGAAACUCUCCCCGUGCAGCUGCGUGGAGAACACCAGCCUCCAGGGGGCGCCGCAGCCGUCCGGCAACUGGAAAGAUGAAUAAAAGAGUUGGGAAGGGAGAUAAGUAGAGUAGAGUCUUGAUAGUGAACUGAUAGUAAACGUUUGUGUUCUGACCUGUGGAGCCAGAAACAUGAGUGUGGGCAGGUGCAGCAGACACCUCAGCUCCGUCCAGGGCGUCUCCCUGCAGGGGGGCAGCAGCGUGGGCGCCGGCCGGCCGCUCAGAGACACAUUCAGGCCUUCGGCCACAAGCAUCUCCAGGUACAACGACACAUGGGGGACCCUGAAGAUCCAGUCCUCCAGACAGGAAGUGUCACAACAUCCUUCAUCUGAGGAUUGAACACAGGGAGUUUGACGCCAGUGGAGCAGUCGCCCAUUCGCUCUGGCUUCCAGCCCUGCAGGCGCCCCCUGUGAACCAGAAUCUGAACCACGGCAGAGAUCAGGUCCUGUAGGAACUGUGGAGGUGGAGGAGAGAGGGGGAGGAGUGAGUCCGGCGUCAGGUGGGAAGGAUGGGAAAAAGGUCGGUGGCCCUUUGUCCUAAAUGUACUGAGACAGAGACAGAGUGUUUCUGUCUGUGAGAUGACGACACGUGAUUCUGAGAGUUAAACACAUCACUCUGACUGGGACAGAGAGGGUUUUUUCGGGACCCCAUGCACUGACCACUCGUUAAUCUGUGUAACGUACCAGAAAUCUCCUCAAUACAUUGAGCUCUUGUAAUAAAUACUUCUGCGUAAGACAUCCACGGUCUCCGUCUUCCUGACUCAACCGUAUCCAAUUUUUUCCCCCGUUCCACUCCUCACCUCAACAACCUGCUCACGUGUGACAACCGUCGCUGCCUGAGCUCCGCUCCGCGACAUGGCCAUGACGAGAGGAGCCCGUUCCUCAGCGGUGCCACGCAGCGCGUCCGCCAGGAAGAUCACCAGCUGCUCCCGACCGACUCCUGAGGCGGCAGCAGAGACGCCGCCCGUCUUCCCAGAGGCCGCGGGCGCCGCCGUUGGUCCAGGGUCGAUGCUGCACAUGCACCGGUGGAGUCGCCCGAUCAUGGAGUCCGGUGCCAGGCUGCACAUCGAGGCCUGACGGAGACAGAAGGAAGGUUCUGAUGAUACGCUGACAGAAACUACUGAUCCGCGACAGACGUACGGACUGUUUUUGAAUCUUACCCGCAGCAACUCCAGCGUCAGACUCUUCCCUGGUGGCGUCUUCUCUGAGGCUCCCGACAGGCCGCCGCCGCCCUGGAGUCUGCCAAACACCCCCUCGACCACGGGACGCUCCUCGGGCCGGAAGCGGGCCAGCCGCUUCUGAACCACCACGCUCUCCGUGUUACCCAUGGUGCUCUGCAGGGGUCACAACACACACACACACACACACACACACACACACACACACACACAACAGUGUCAUUAUGUUUAGUACAGAGGAAGAAAACAGAAUGAAAACCACAUUUUAGAGAGCGUAUUCAUGUAUCAAUAAUGUAAACCACAUUGUGAGCAUAUUCAAGUUUAUGACUGAUUCUGGAGGAUCAUAGAGCUUUACAUGUCCUAAUCAUAUGAAAACUUAUUCAGCAAUUACAUUCGUCAAAGUGUCACAAUCAUGGCUGCUGUUGUGAUUCAUUACGUCUCAGACAGUGUUUCCAUCCAUGUCUGUAUUUUACAAGAAAUGUAUUAAUAAUAAAUAUCUACCUAAAUAUU